rnacentral:lncRNA from 1 species
UUGUUUCUGUACUUCUACAAGCUCACUAGAGAAAAGUCUGCAUCCGGUCGCUUUGGAUUCACGCGACGACAUUUUGACAAGAACAUCGUCGACGAGCUCCCGACGAACUUUGGAUGCAACUGGAGACGGGAGUUUAUUUUCAUAACUUCUGAAUUUCUUCCCGGGAGCCGGGAGAUGUGGAACGAUCCGAAUCGAGUGUACAUGAAUGCCUCGAUCGAGCUGAGUACGAGGGACAUCGAGGCCUCGGAUCGGAUAGCGCGUACGCUUACUGGAUACUCUGUGCCGCGCGGUGUUCCCUUUGUCCUUUGC